GACGAACGCUGGCGGCGUGCUUAACACAUGCAAGUCGAACGGAAAGGCCCUGCUUUUGUGGGGUGCUCGAGUGGCGAACGGGUGAGUAACACGUGAGUAACCUGCCCUUGACUUUGGGAUAACUUCAGGAAACUGGGGCUAAUACCGGAUAGGAGCUCCUGCUGCAUGGUGGGGGUUGGAAAGUUUCGGCGGUUGGGGAUGGACUCGCGGCUUAUCAGCUUGUUGGUGGGGUAGUGGCUUACCAAGGCUUUGACGGGUAGCCGGCCUGAGAGGGUGACCGGCCACAUUGGGACUGAGAUACGGCCCAGACUCCUACGGGAGGCAGCAGUGGGGAAUAUUGCACAAUGGGCGGAAGCCUGAUGCAGCAACGCCGCGUGCGGGAUGACGACCUUCGGGUUGUAAACCGCUUUCGCCUGUGGCGAAGCGUGAGUGACGGUAAUGGGUAAAGAAGCACCGGCUAACUACGUG
rnacentral:rRNA from 1 species